UUCCCUUUUCAUUUACUCAGACACAUUUGUUUGUCACUCUCUACUCCGGCGACCCACUCGUCUCCGACCACCAUAUCAGCUACGGAGAUCUUCUCAUUGGCGUCAGUGAGCUCUUUGUUCUUCCCUCGUGUUCGUGAAUCCCUCACUGAAUCUCUCUUGUCGUGAACUGUUCGUGAAUCUCAUUGAAACCCUAACUAACCAAUCUCUCUCCUGUUCGUGAACUUUUCUUCGUUUUCGCGAUUGAACGAAGUUUCGCGUCUUUUCUGUUUGCGAUUGAACGAAGUUUUGUGCUGAUUUUUGAGAAAUAUGUUAAGGAUUGGAUUGCAAUUGCUGCACCAUUCCAGGUGAAUUUGGAUACUGUUUCUAACAAUGGUUAGCACUUUCAUGGUUGCACUAAUUGUAUUAAACAAUGCUAUGGCUGGACACCGCCAUUCAAGUGUAGAGAUGGACAUUCAACCAAUGUUCCAAUUAUA